CUACGGGGUGCUCCAGUGAGGAAUAUUGCACAAUGGGGGGAACCCUGAUGCAGCAACGCCGCGUGGAGGAUGACGCAUUUCGGUGUGUAAACUCCUUUUAUAUGUCAAGAAAAUGACGGUAGCAUAUGAAUAAGCACCGUCUAACUCCGUGCCAGCAGCCGCGGUAAUACGGAGGGUGCAAGCGUUACUCGGAAUCACUGGGCGUAAAGGACGCGUAGGCGGGUUGGAAAGUCAGGUGGUAAAUCCUACAGCUUAACUGUAGAACUGCACUUGAAACUUCUAAUCUAGAGUAUGGGAGGGGGAGAUGGAAUUAGUGGUGUAGGGGUAAUAUCCGUAGAUAUCACUAGGAAUACCUAAAGCGAAGGCGAUCUCCUGGAACAUUACUGACGCUAAGGCGUGAAAGCGUGGGGAGCAAACAGGAUUAGAUACCCCGGUAGUC
rnacentral:rRNA from 1 species